rnacentral:rRNA from 1 species
GUCUUAAUUGGGCGUUAAGUUGCAGGGUAUAGACCCGAAACCCGGUGAUCUAGCCAUGGGCAGGUUGAAGGUUGGGUAACACUAACUGGAGGACCGAACCGACUAAUGUUGAAAAAUUAGCGGAUGACCUGUGGCUGGGGGUGAAAGGCCAAUCAAACCGGGAGAUAGCUGGUUCUCCCCGAAAGCUAUUUAGGUAGCGCCUCGUGAAUUCAUCUCCGGGGGUAGAGCACUGUUUCGGCUAGGGGGCCAUCCCGGCUUACCAACCCGAUGCAAACUGCGAAUACCGGAGAAUGUUAUCACGGGAGACACACGGCGGGUGCUAACGUCCGUCGUGAAGAGGGAAACAACCCAGACCGCCAGCUAAGGUCCCAAAGUCAUGGUUAAGUGGGAAACGAUGUGGGAAGGCCCAGACAGCCAGGAUGUUGGCUUAGAAGCAGCCAUCAUUUAAAGAAAGCGUAAUAGCUCACUGGUCGAGUCGGCCUGCGCGGAAGAUGUAACGGGGCUAAACCAUGCACCGAAGCUGCGGCAGCGACACUCAGGUGUUGUUGGGUAGGGGAGCGUUCUGUAAGCCUGCGAAGGUGGCCUGUGAGGGUUGCUGGAGGUAUCAGAAGUGCGAAUGCUGACAUAAGUAACGAUAAAGCGGGUGAAAAGCCCGCUCGCCGGAAGACCAAGGGUUCCUGUCCAACGUUAAUCGGGGCAGGGUGAGUCGACCCCUAAGGCGAGGCCGAAAGGCGUAGUCGAUGGGAAACGGGUUAAUAUUCCCGUACUUGGUGUUACUGCGAAGGGGGGACGGAGAAGGCUAUGUUGGCCGGGCGACGGUUGUCCCGGUUUAAGCGUGUAGGUGUGUGUUCCAGGUAAAUCCGGUUCACUUUAACACUGAGGCGUGACGACGAGGCACUACGGUGCUGAAGCAACAAAUGCCCUGCUUCCAGGAAAAGCCUCUAAGCAUCAGGUAACAUCAAAUCGUACCCCAAACCGACACAGGUGGUCAGGUAGAGAAUACCAAGGCGCUUGAGAGAACUCGGGUGAAGGAACUAGGCAAAAUGGUGCCGUAACUUCGGGAGAAGGCACGCUGACAUGUAGGUGAAGUGAUUUACUCAUGGAGCUGAAGUCAGUCGAAGAUACCAGCUGGCUGCAACUGUUUAUUAAAAACACAGCACUGUGCAAACACGAAAGUGGACGUAUACGGUGUGACGCCUGCCCGGUGCCGGAAGGUUAAUUGAUGGGGUCAGCGCAAGCGAAGCUCCUGAUCGAAGCCCCGGUAAACGGCGGCCGUAACUAUAACGGUCCUAAGGUAGCGAAAUUCCUUGUCGGGUAAGUUCCGACCUGCACGAAUGGCGUAAUGAUGGCCAGGCUGUCUCCACCCGAGACUCAGUGAAAUUGAACUCGCUGUGAAGAUGCAGUGUACCCGCGGCAAGACGGAAAGACCCCGUGAACCUUUACUAUAGCUUGACACUGAACAUUGAGCCUUGAUGUGUAGGAUAGGUGGGAGGCUUUGAAGUGUGGACGCCAGUCUGCAUGGAGCCGACCUUGAAAUACCACCCUUUAAUGUUUGAUGUUCUAACGUGGACCCGUGAUCCGGGUUGCGGACAGUGUCUGGUGGGUAGUUUGACUGGGGCGGUCUCCUCCUAAAGAGUAACGGAGGAGCACGAAGGUUGGCUAAUCCUGGUCGGACAUCAGGAGGUUAGUGCAAUGGCAUAAGCCAGCUUGACUGCGAGCGUGACGGCGCGAGCAGGUGCGAAAGCAGGUCAUAGUGAUCCGGUGGUUCUGAAUGGAAGGGCCAUCGCUCAACGGAUAAAAGGUACUCCGGGGAUAACAGGCUGAUACCGCCCAAGAGUUCAUAUCGACGGCGGUGUUUGGCACCUCGAUGUCGGCUCAUCACAUCCUGGGGCUGAAGUAGGUCCCAAGGGUAUGGCUGUUCGCCAUUUAAAGUGGUACGCGAGCUGGGUUUAGAACGUCGUGAGACAGUUCGGUCCCUAUCUGCCGUGGGCGCUGGAGAACUGAGGGGGGCUGCUCCUAGUACGAGAGGACCGGAGUGGACGCAUCACUGGUGUUCGGGUUGUCAUGCCAAUGGCACUGCCCGGUAGCUAAAUGCGGAAGAGAUAAGUGCUGAAAGCAUCUAAGCACGAAACUUGCCCCGA